rnacentral:rRNA from 1 species
UACAGAGGGUGCAAGCGUUGUUCGGAAUUAUUGGGCGUAAAGCGCGUGUAGGCGGCUUUGCAAGUCGGGUGUGAAAGCCCUCAGCUCAACUGAGGAAGUGCGCCCCGAAACUGCAGAGCUUGAGUACCGGAGAGGGUGGCGGAAUUCCCCAAGUAGAGGUGAAAUUCGUAGAUAUGGGGAGGAACACCGGUGGGCGAAGGCGGCCACCUGGACGGAUACUGACGCUGAGACGCGAAAGCGUGGGUAGCAAACAGG